GCUCGAAUUAUAAGUGGAUUAGACUGAGCAACAUGGGCGUUUCUGGUUGGUAUGGUUAACUCUUGCCUUUGUAUAAUGUUUUCCCGAAUGCACUUUACAUCUUAUUUCUAUUAGCAAAUGUACAUAAACAUUUGAUUCUUCCAUAAGUUUUAGUGACAAAUCUAUUAUGAUGCAGAAUUGAGGUACAGGAGGAAAGGGCAUUUGAAGGUAUAUGGUAUCCGUCUGGUGCUUCUUCCAUUGUAUAGUUGCUGAGCCUCUUUUACUUGUUUACAGUUGUGUUGGACAUCCAGGCCUUUUUAAUCUUUUGUAGAUGAUCCCGUGAUCCUUUUCUAGGCAAUCACUUCACUCGUCGUGCCAGCUUUGGCAACUACAGUGUAACUCUUUCUGGAGCUGAGUCUACAAAUCAUGCGAAGUUACCCUUUGAACUUGUUCAACAUGAUGUGAGGCCUUGGAAAAUAUAUUCAUGUUACCUUUAUUGACUAUUAUUCUUG
rnacentral:lncRNA from 1 species